rnacentral:rRNA from 1 species
UGCGCAGGCGGUUACUUAAGUCAGGUGUGAAAGCCCUGGGCUUAACCUAGGAAUUGCGCUUGAGACUGGGUAGCUUUGAGUGUGGCAGAGGGAGGUGGAAUUCCACGUGUAGCAGUGAAAUGCGUAGAGAUGUGGAGGAACACCGAUGGCGAAGGCAGCCUCCUGGGCCAGCACUGACGCUCAUGCACGAAAGCGUGGGGAGCAAACA